CCUACGGGAUGCAGCAGUGGGGAAUAUUGGACAAUGGGCGAAAGCCUGAUCCAGCAAUGCCGCGUGUGUGAAGAAGGCCUUCGGGUUGUAAAGCACUUUCAGCAGGGAGGAAGGCAAUGCGGUUAAUAACCGUGUUGAUUGACGUUACCCGCAGAAGAAGCACCGGCUAACUCCGUGCCAGCAGCCGCGGUAAUACGGAGGGUGCAAGCGUUAAUCGGAAUUACUGGGCGUAAAGCGCACGCAGGCGGUUUGUUAAGUCAGAUGUGAAAUCCCCGGGCUCAACCUGGGAACUGCAUCUGAUACUGGCAAGCUUGAGUCUCGUAGAGGGGGGUAGAAUUCCAGGUGUAGCGGUGAAAUGCGUAGAGAUCUGGAGGAAUACCGGUGGCGAAGGCGGCCCCCUGGACGAAGACUGACGCUCAGGUGCGAAAGCGUGGGGAGCAAACAGGAUUAGAUACCCCUGUAGUC
rnacentral:rRNA from 1 species